UUUCCGUAGGUGAACCUGCGGAAGGAUCAUUAUCGUAUAACCGAGGUGCGAGGGCUGUCGCUGACCCGAAAGGUCGUGCACGCCCGAGUGCCCUCACACACAUCCAUCUCACCCCUAUGUGCACCACCGCGUGGGUCCCCCUUUGGCUUGUUCGGAGGGGGGCUUACGUUUUCACACAAACUUUGUAUGCAGUGUAGAAUGUAUUUUUUGUUUUUGCGAUCACGCAAUCAAUACAACUUUCAACAACGGAUCUCUUGGCUCUCGCAUCGAUGAAGACGCAGC
rnacentral:misc_RNA from 1 species